GGGUGAGUAACACGUGGAUAACCUACCUAUAAGACUGGGAUAACUUCGGGAAACCGGAGCUAAUACCGGAUAAUAUAUUGAACCGCAUGGUUCAAUAGUGAAAGACGGUUUUGCCGUCACUUAUAGAUGGAUCCGCGCCGCAUUAGCUAGUUGGUAAGGUAACGGCUUACCAAGGCAACGAUGCGUAGCCGACCUGAGAGGGUGAUCGGCCACACUGGAACUGAGACACGGUCCAGACUCCUACGGGAGGCAGCAGUAGGGAAUCUUCCGCAAUGGGCGAAAGCCUGACGGAGCAACGCCGCGUGAAUGAUGAAGGUCUUCGGAUCGUAAAACUCUGUUAUUAGGGAAGAACAAAUGUGUAAGUAACUAUGCACGUCUUGACGGUACCUAAUCAGAAAGCCACGGCUAACUACGUGCCAGCAGCCGCGGUAAUACGUAGGUGGCAAGCGUUAUCCGGAAUUAUUGGGCGUAAAGCGCGCGUAGGCGGUUUUUUAAGUCUGAUGUGAAAGCCCACGGCUCAACCGUGGAGGGUCAUUGGAAACUGGAAAACUUGAGUGCGGAAGAGGAAAGUGGAAUUCCAUGUGUAGCGGUGAAAUGCGCAGAGAUAUGGAGGAACACCAGUGGCGAAGGCGACUUUCUGGUCUGUAACUGACGCUGAUGUGCGA
rnacentral:rRNA from 1 species